rnacentral:lncRNA from 1 species
AUGCUGUUGAAGGGUGCACGCACCCGCCAGAUGCCGCCAGAGCAAUCUGCUCCUCCUGCCCGCAGGCGGCGCUGUGGGGGCCGAGUCCACGCGCUGGAAAGGCAACGUUCCCAGGAUGCCCUGCGUAUCUCCAUGGCGACGGCUGCCGCGGGGCGGGGACUGCGGGGCGGGCUGCCGGGCGCAGGCCCUGCCCCCGGAGCGGCUCUUAGACCGCCGGGACCUCCCCAGCCGCACUACGCCGGCACGCCCCGGGGAAGGGGCGACGCUCGCCGUGGCUCCCCACAGAAGCAGGACCGGCGGCCCAGCCCGGGGUCUUGGACUACGCGGACGCUGCAGGGACAGUGCUUGCCACUGGAUGUCCAGCUGCGCCCGGAUGCACGCAGGCCUCUGCUGGCUUUCCCAGGAAUGAGGACUGACUUCCUGCCACCAGCCACACUCUCUGUCCAGAAUCCUCCACGACAUUUUCCUCGCUCUUUCUGUGGCCCUUGAGAAGACUGACCCAUGCCUCCAUGUUGAGUACAGCCCAACACUGUUUCUGGGAUUCCUUUCCAACCUGUGACCUCUCAGAAGCCCUGGGUUUAUAUUUCUGGAUUGUCUAUAGCUGAAUGGGUUUUCAAGACAAGUCUGUACGGUUUCACAGGCCAGAAGAUGGGUCCUGGCGCCCAUGGUGGGUGCUGUGAGCCAAGUCGGGGUCCAGAGAGUAGAGGGUCUGGAGGCUGCACCCCCGAAUGGUUUCAAUUCAACAAAUGAAGUGCCAGGUAUGAUAGAACAUCAUUCUCUUAGCGGAGGGCUCAGAAAUACGGGGAGACACAGCCCGAGGACUUCCAGGCCAGCCCGGGGAGCAGAGGGUGUGAGACUGUCAGAGGGCUGCAUGCAAGCCCUCUGUGGAGGGUGGUGGAAGGUCCAGGGACAGAUAAUGGACAUGUAGGAAGAGGUGGACCUUCGUGGAAGGCAGGUGCAGGAAGUAGAACUUCCAUGGGUGGGAUAGAUGAUUGAGUUGAAAGAUUUGCUUCAAAACCAUCCAGCUAACCAUAGUAGAACCUAAAGAUGCUGGAUGAAAAUCGGUUGGUCCCACUCAUAUUGCAUUGGAUGACUCUUUGGGGAAACAUGACCUUCUCUGUUACUAUGUGUUUUGAUGAAUUAUUUCCUUUAUUGCAUGUUUGUCUGCGGAACACUCACCCUGAGCCAGAUCCUGCUCCAGGCCUUAGGGGCACAUAAGUGGAUAAAACAAGACUUACAUGCUUUCUCAAGAUGUGGAUUCCAAGAGGGAAGUAGAUAUGUAAAUAAAAGGUAAUAUAAAAAUAUCUUUGAGGGAGACCUGGGUGGCUAGGUGGUUGAGCAUCCCAGGUCGUGACCCCGGGGUCCCAGGAUCGAGUCCCACAUUGGGCUCCCUGCAUGGGGCCUGCUUCUCCCUCUGCCUGUGUCUCUGCCUCUCUCUCUCUCUGUGUCUCUCAUGAAUAAAUAUUUUAAAAAUAUACUUUUGGACUUGUCUCCAUCUUCACCUGGUGGAGAUAGGAAUUAAGAGAAAUGCAUUAACAUCGGUCAUGUGCUUGUUACAUGCCCAGCACCCUGACUGUACACACCUUUGUGCAAUUUACAGCCGGUGGAAAUGGCAGAUGCUGCUGUUCUGACUUGCUGUAAAGAAACCACACGAAGUGCAGCUCAGGCAAGGGUAUUAAUCUAGAAACCACUCAUGAGGGUGACUGGAGAUGGGACCAACAUAAGAAGAUGUGGGAACAGGAGAGGCACCACUUACCACGGGCGGACCCAGGAAUCUUAGUAACAAAGUGUUUGCAAAAAACACUGUAGAGAAAAUUUACAAAAUGUCUCUGGAGAAUUUAUAGGGUAAGUCGACCCUCCACCGUGGGGAGAGUCAGGGUCACAAACGUGUCACUGAGUCCUACAUCGGUGUAGGAUUCUAAACAUUUCCAAAUGAGUAGUGGGGAUUAGAAUCCAUGCCUCUGGGAUCGCACUCAGAACAGAAACACUCAGAGAAGGAAUGAGGAGUUUAUGACAAAGAUAAAGGAGAAGACGGGCUGAUGUACGUCAAGACUCUUUCAAGGCUCUAAUGAGAUUAAUCUGGAGAUUGACACAUGCAUCAACAAAACAGAGAAGCAAGGCCAAGAUUGUGUGGAUGUGUAAAUAUAUAUAAUAAAUAUAGAAAGAGAUGUAUUAAUAUGUUCAUUUAUGCCAAACUUCUCAUAGAAUGUUUAGAAAUACACUUCACGAUCUCUUGAAAAAGAAGGGCUGACUUAGACAAUAAUAUGACAGACACACCUCAUAGAGAAAGAGAAGGAAAAAUCAGUCCAGAUCAAAUCUCAGUACUUCUCUUUGAGGAACAUGCUGUAAAGAAAGCUGAGAGAGCCAUGGCAGGUAGCCGUUUGGGAAAAGACAUCUGUGUCAUACAUGACAGAGGGAUCAGUAUCCAAAAUACUGAAAGAACUUGAGGAAAUUAAUUGGAAAACAAGCAGCCCCAUAGAUAAAUUGUCAAAGUGUGAACAAGAGUUUCACAUGCAAGGAAUCCUGAAAGAGUAAUGGGAAGAGUCUCAGCCUCACUGUGAGCAGCGGUGUGGGAGCGCGGCGGCCCCGAGAGCGUCCCCUUGUCAUCAGACAGGCAGGAGGACAGCGAGGUGCUAAUUCCGGGGCAGCUGAGUCCAGGGGUGGGUAUGCUGCCGGCUCCAGGGCCGCACACGGUACAGGGGGGAGAAGCAGUGAGGAAAUGCCCAGCAAGUUCGGAAGGGCACAGACCCUACACCGGGCACGUCCACCUGCAAAGUCACCCCCAGUGAGUCCAGCUGGUGGCAGUACUGACGCUGGGUGACGUCUCUGUGAGGGGAAACUUGGGAGCAAUCCCAGCGCCCAACGCUGGAGAAUAGGUCUGUGUCUGACCUUAGGAAGCAGUGUGCUUGUGCAUCAUGUGGCAUUUGUCUCCUUGUGACCGGCCCAUGUCACUCAUGGAAGGCACAGCUCCUGGCGACUGCUCGUGGGGGUGGGGGAAGGACCCAGUGUGCCGGAGUGGAUGAGACUCCUCUGGGGCGAGGGCUCUGUCCACCGUGCGGCUGCCUGCCUGAUGGUUUUGUGUUGGGGUUAACAGGUGAUGGGCGGGUUAGGGAUGCUCAGGGGAAGGUGACGAAGUCAGGUCCCAAGGGCUGCUCUUUAGAGACCCACGUGUCUCCUGGAGACUUCCAGCAGGCACUUGACUCUGUGGGUCUGGAGCUCAGCAGAAAGGCCAGACACACAGGUCAAGUGUGGGAAUCUGUAGCUCAUGAGAGUGUACAGGUGGUCAUUGGAGGUUCUGGAUUGAAACUGUUGCAAGGUAUAUCAGCUUUCGUGUCUGCGUCCUGGGGAGAGACCAUGCCGUCUUGAUGGGUCUCCCAGCUUUGCCUUUUGGGCCCAGUUCCUAAGGCUUGAUCCCUUUCCAUCCUGGCUCCCUGCUCUCCGCCUCUGCAGGUGGCGGCCACGUAAAGUCCAAGCGUCCCGCUGUGCCCACACUGUGCAAAAUGUGAACACGAGGGCUUUGAAGAGCAGUCACAGAAAUGCCCGCUCAGCGGCCGCUCCAGCCUCCCCACACCCCACAGACUCAGCUCCAGAGGAGUGAGUUUGGGGACUUGAGUAAUUAAUUGAAUGGAAAAGAACCCAAACUGGUUAGGGAUGAAUUUGAAGUUAGCUUCUAAGUUGUGGCCAGUUACUGGGGGCGGGACGGGGUGGGGGAUGAGGGGGUGGUGGAAGAAAUAUCUUGAGCAUGACGUUUUAUACAAAAAAAAAAAAAAAAAAUCCAUACAGAGUCAAGUUUAACUCCUGAAAAUGAAGGAAAAGGCGAGGGGUAUGAGUGUGUCCCCUGCAUGCUGAGGUCACCAUGACACCUUGCAACUUUGAGGAAGAGAAAUGCUUCAUUAUGGGUGAAAAGAAGCCACUUCUGAAGCCACUUCAACACCCCCUGGUUGAGCGCUGAGCCCAGAAGACUCAGCCGAUGUAGCCCUGGGGGCUUACCUCCUGCAGAGUAAGGGCUUCCCUGGCGGAGGGUCUUGGGACAGGUGGGGCGGGGAGUCAGGAGGACUGGCUCUCAGGCUCAGCUCCACCCCACCUGGACAGGUGCUGUGCCCUUGGUUUGGUGUUUCCCGUGAGAUUCACAGGCUGGGAGCACGAGAUGUCUGCAUGUCAAGAACUGGAUCUCGCUGAGCACCUGCAAAGCCGAUGUGCGUCCCGUGGGGACGGACACUCAGCUCCGCCAUGGCCUGGGCACCGUCGUGCUGUUUCUGUUUCUUUCUAUCCCUUCGCUGUCUGUGUGUUUGGGGACGUAAGCACCACAUGCAGAGCAGGUGGUGGCCCAGAUGCUCUCCGGGGUAAUCGGAGCUUCCAGAGGGUGGCCCUCAGAUGGCUGCCAACCAUCGAAUCCCAGGUGUCUGCCUGGCCUGAGGUCACCGACUGAAACAGCCCUGGGGCCAGACUGCUGCCUUCCCGGCACCCCGGCAGCCCGGGACAAGGAGGUUGUCACUGAGGCUCACUGUCCUAAAUUAAGUGCUUGUGAGCUGUUCAAGUUGUAUUCCAUGAAAACAGGGUCAUGAAAUUAGGGCUUCCUCAGGGAAAGCCACAUGAGCACAGACCGACUAACCGUGGGUGUGGUGCACACCAGGCCGCCACGCGUCUGCUGUCCAGCUCCCCGAGUCCUUGGGUAAGGGUACACAUGACCUGUGAGUCCACACAUGUGGAUUUUCAUGACAAGGCCCGGGGGGAGGGGGGGAGGAUGCUUUGGGGACUGGCGAACAACGCAGUUGUGUUGGUAGGGCAGGGCAAAUAUAUACAGUCUGUAUUCCUUAUUUGUAAUAUGUAUUUUUAUUUAUUAAUGCUUAAGUGCUGUUUGGUAAGUUUUCUUAAUAAAAUUAUUCCUGAUUUUACUUUUUUUUAAAAAAAGAUUUUAUUUAUUUAUUUGAAAGGGAGAGAGAGAGAGCAUGAGCAGGGGUCGGGGGGGCAGAGGGAGAAGCAGACCCCUUGCUGACUGGGGAGCCCGACAUGGGGCUUGAUCCCAGGACCCUGUGAUCAUGACCUGAGUCGAAGGCCAAGGUUUCACCGACUGAGACCCCCCAGACGCCCCUCACUUUGUAUUUUAACAGUGGGAACAUCCGGAGACCUAACAUGUGAUCCUCAUUCUU